CUCCAUGGCUGAGGUCAGAACAGAAGAUGCCUCUUUAACGCUCCUUGCAUGAGUAUAAAUUACAGCAUCAUCUGCAUACAUUUGGAAAUUCACAUUAUUACAUAUUUUGGGAAGAUCAUUUAUGUACAGGGAGAAUAACUGAGGACCAAGUAUUGAUCCUUGAGGCACACCAACAGAGACAUCCAAGACCAAUGAUUUUACACUGUCAAUUUGUACACAUUGUUUUCUUGAGGAUAAGUAUGAUUUAAACCACUGAAUUGCCUCUGGCAAAAAAUUGAAAUCUGUUAAUUUUGUUAGAAGAAUUUCAUGGUUAACAGUGUUGAAAGCCUUUUUAAGGUCAAGGAACACUGCACCAACACAGGGAUAUAUAUCCAAAAUGCUGUGAUUUUGGUCUGG